AGAGUUUGAUCCUGGCUCAGGAUGAACGCUAGCUACAGGCUUAACACAUGCAAGUCGAGGGGCAGCAUGGUCUUAGCUUGCUAAGGCCGAUGGCGACCGGCGCACGGGUGAGUAACACGUAUCCAACCUGCCGUCUACUCUUGGACAGCCUUCUGAAAGGAAGAUUAAUACAAGAUGGCAUCAUGAGUCCGCAUGUUCACAUGAUUAAAGGUAUUCCGGUAGACGAUGGGGAUGCGUUCCAUUAGAUAGUAGGCGGGGUAACGGCCCACCUAGUCUUCGAUGGAUAGGGGUUCUGAGAGGAAGGUCCCCCACAUUGGAACUGAGACACGGUCCAAACUCCUACGGGAGGCAGCAGUGAGGAAUAUUGGUCAAUGGGCGAGAGCCUGAACCAGCCAAGUAGCGUGAAGGAUGACUGCCCUAUGGGUUGUAAACUUCUUUUAUAAAGGAAUAAAGUCGGGUAUGCAUACCCGUUUGCAUGUACUUUAUGAAUAAGGAUCGGCUAACUCCGUGCCAGCAGCCGCGGUAAUACGGAGGAUCCGAGCGUUAUCCGGAUUUAUUGGGUUUAAAGGGAGCGUAGAUGGAUGUUUAAGUCAGUUGUGAAAGUUUGCGGCUCAACCGUAAAAUUGCAGUUGAUACUGGAUAUCUUGAGUGCAGUUGAGGCAGGCGGAAUUCGUGGUGUAGCGGUGAAAUGCUUAGAUAUCACGAAGAACUCCGAUUGCGAAGGCAGCCUGCUAAGCUGCAACUGACAUUGAGGCUCGAAAGUGUGGGUAUCAAACAGGAUUAGAUACCCUGGUAGUCCACACGGUAAACGAUGAAUACUCGCUGUUUGCGAUAUACAGCAAGCGGCCAAGCGAAAGCGUUAAGUAUUCCACCUGGGGAGUACGCCGGCAACGGUGAAACUCAAAGGAAUUGACGGGGGCCCGCACAAGCGGAGGAACAUGUGGUUUAAUUCGAUGAUACGCGAGGAACCUUACCCGGGCUCAAACGCCACAGGAACAUCCCCCGAAAGGGGAAUGGCCAGCAAUGGCCUGUGGCGAGGUGCUGCAUGGUUGUCGUCAGCUCGUGCCGUGAGGUGUCGGCUUAAGUGCCAUAACGAGCGCAACC
rnacentral:rRNA from 1 species